GCCCUUGACCUAAUCAAAGGUGUUACCUGCCCAAUGAUUAAUAAUUAGAAUAUAAAAACCUUAAAAUUAAUUUAAAGGACGCGGUAUCCUGACCGUGAUAAUGUAGCAUAAUCAUUCGCCACCUAAUUAGUGGAUAGUAUGAAUGGUAUAACGAAUAUAACACUGUCUUAACAGAAAAUUUUAUUAAAUUGAAAUAAUAGUCAAGAUGCUAUUUCAAGUUGUAAGACGAGAAGACCCUAUAGAGCUUAACUAUAACCUUUUUAAAUUUUAAAAAUUAAUUUUUAGAUAUAAAAGGAUAGGUAGUUUAGUUGGGGCGACUAUCUUCUAAAAUAAACGAAGAUGAACAAAGUUAAUUAAACACUUACUGUAUAAUUAAUACAUUUAACAGUUAUUAACAUAGGUAAUAAAGACCCGUUAUAUAUUUAUAAUAAUAAUAACGAUCAACAAAUAAAAGCUACCUUAGGGAUAACAGGAUAAUCUUGUUCAAGAGAUCUUAUCGAAAGCAAGGUUUGUCACCUCUAUGUUGAAUUAAGAUAUCCAAGAAAUGCAGAAGUUUCUAAAGGUAGGUCUGUUCGACCUAUAAAAUCUU
rnacentral:rRNA from 1 species